AUAUAGAAUAAAGUUACCAUAUACUUAUAAGUUUUUAAAUUUGAAUUAAAAUUUUAAAAAAGAAAUUUAUCUUCUUCUUUUUUUGUUAAGUUAUCAUACUUAAUUUGGUUAAUGAUCAUAUUAAUCAUGCUAGGAACUUUUGUUAUCGUUUCUGAUUAUUUAACUACUACUGCGCCUAUGGCAAAAAAAGAAAAAAAAAAUUAUUCCAUAUAACUAUAAAACUCUUUCACAUUUAAAAUCCUAUAAUUAUAGUUCCUUAAAAUAAUAUAGCUAUAUUUGAAUAAAUCGAAUUUCUUUUAAAAGAAAUAUAAUAUAUAGGGUACACGUCUAUAGUUAUUAAGAUAAUAAAAAAGAGUUUAAAAAUCAAAUAAAAGUUUACUUACAUAUAUAAAAGUUUACUUGCAUGCUGGAGAAUGAAACAUCACAAAAAUCAGUCAAUAUUCAAAAAGAUUAUUAUUUUUCCUUUUUGAAGAAUGUUUGUUUGAAGAGUCAACUUGUAUAAAUGGACAUCAAAGAAAUAACAAAACUUUGGCUAUACAAUUGCUAUCAUUAAUUUUAAUUUAGCACCUAUUAGGAAUUGAAGGGUAUAAGCUGAAACCUCUUCAUUUAGAUGCAGUUAAGCCAACAUUACAAGGGUUUAAUAUUUUUUGUUGAAAAAUAACAGUUUGAAUCACUAGAUUAUGUGAAAAGUUAUUUUUCGAAUUCAACAAGAGGACAUUACUUUCUAAUUGAUAGUUUCUAUAGUAAUUUUCAAGUGUAACAAAAAGUAUAUUUUAAAAAAAAACUGGUAUGACAUAAAAUGUAAACAAAUUAUUUCAAAAUGGGAUUAUUUUUAAAAAUAUAAUGUAAUUUUAAAAAUAAAAAGAUAAGAUAUUUUAGAAUUUUGUAGAGUUUUUAAAUUAUUAUAAUAGAAGUCAUAUCAUGGAUAAAAUCAAAAAACCGAAAUCUUAUGAAAUAUUUACAUAAAUAUCCGGCCAGAUUUAUUAUUUACUUUUUCUAGCUAAUACCCAUAGAUGAUAUACUGGCAAUACACGAUUAUACAUAUUAUAUAUGAAUUAUACAUAAAUUACACAUUGUUCAAUUUUUUAAUUUAAGUGGUAAGGCGAGCACUUAUUUAGGUUGAUUAGAUAAAGCCAAAAAAUGGAAGAAUUUCAACUAAUGACUAAAAAUAUAAAUAAAGUUCUUAUGUAGACCAUUUCUAUUUAAACUCAUCCUUUUAUAGCGAAAUAAAUUAUUUUUUUGUAAGAAAAAGAAAGACAUAAAAAUAAGAUAAAAGAAAUAAAUAUAGAAGAAAAUGUAUGAAAAAUCUAAAAACCAGAAAUAAGAGAUGAUAACGAAUUUCUUCUUCUGUUUCAUCAUUAUCAAGCCGAGACCGAGAAGCAUUUAGGCUUCACAGAAGAGAAAUCAAGAAUGAAUUUUUUAUUGCUAUGAAGGUUUUCUACAUCCAUUAAAUAGCAAAACUAAGAAGGAUGGAGGGAAGUCAAAAAAAGCUGACCUAAAAAAAUAAAUCAAGAAAAAGAAGAAGAUAUGUGCAUACCUGUAGCUUGAACAGAGUCAAAAGACUGGAGACGACCUGUAGAAACUGAAGAAACUAAAAAAAGACAAAGAAGAAACCUAUGUAUAUCUUUUAGAAGAGUCAUUAUCAAAAAGAAAAAAAGAGCAACUACAAACUUAAUUAUACUAUAUCUCCACAUUUGAAGGCAUUAUAUUUUUCUCAGAAUAAUUCUUAGCAAGAAUGCAAUUAUUCGCACAUAUAACACUGAUGCACAAAUAACCAAACUUCUCUUUAUCAAUCUUCAGAACUCUAAAAUACAGAAAGUUAGCUUUUAAAACCUUCUUCCUAGUAUGUUGUCUUGCCAUAACCAAAAUUUACUUUUCUGGAUUAUUUGCAUCCAACUUUACUGAAGCACAACUAAAGAUUUUUAAAAUCUUACGAGACAAUUGAUGCCUUUAAGAUUCUCGGAGUGGUGUAUACUUCGAGCUACCAUAAAUCGUUACUCCAUCUAGCUAUCCCAAAAACUAUGCCUAUAAAUAAAUAAAAAAUAGAUCGAAAUUUCAAGGUCAGUCAAUAAAAUUACACACACGAAAGCACAUAAAUCGAUUUCUUAAAAAAGAUACAGAUUAAAACCUAUAAAAGCAAAAGCGUAAUAUGAAAUCCGUCCUAAUUUUACUUUGAUUCUUAUUCCAUUUCUUACUAAAAGGGAUAGCGACUAUGAUCGUACAUCAUUAAAUUUAAAAAGAAGUAAAUCAGUGUUAAUAACUUAUUAUACCUCUCAUUUCACAAACAGUAUGCUCGGAACAAAGGGUUGAACCCGGAUCUUUCAGUGAUGGAUUCCCAUCUUGAAGUUCCAAUGCAAUAUGCAAGCUGAAAUUGUAAGCAUUCACAAACAAAACAAAGGGCUGAACAACAGAAAAGUUACAGAGAGUAAAUAGCAGAGAGAAAAUAGGCAUAAAUGGCGUUGCAAUCAUCCGAGAAGAUGAAAUGUAGAACACUUUACAGAAAGGUGGAAAAAAAAAAAGGCAAGAUGGUGCGGUGGCUAUCAUACCAGAUAUUUACGCAGUUUCCGCGAUGUGAUCUAUUUUGAACUUCUGGAAAUAGAGACACCAUUCAUGUUUUCUAAAUCUUAAGAGAAGACGACGAAUGGGAUAUAACAACCCAAGUCUCUAUUUACAGAAAAGCAACAAAUUGGGUCCUUUAAGAUAUGAGAUAAACCUUACCUGAAAGGCUGAAACCUCCUCAAAAUCUGUGAUAAAUAUUUUUGUCAUGUUUGAGUCUUCUCAGUGAAGUCCCGAAGUCUACUCAACAAAAGCUAACUACAAAUCCAUAUCCAGUUCUAAUAAUAUAUUGAAAAUCUCACUUUGAGAUAGCCGGAUUGGAAAGCUCACUUUGAGAGGGUUAUAAGGUCUGGUCUUUCUUCAGCAUUAAACAAUUAUUCUUAAUUAAUAUGAUAAAUUCAAAACCAUUUACUAAACACGAAAGAAACAAAAACACCCCAAUCAAAACUUUUUGCCACAAAACAUAGAGGUAGGCAGAUGAAGUGUUUAUUGGAUAGGGUUUAUGAUCCUCUAAGUACAAGGGCUUAAGAAUAGUAUUUUACCUUAGUUGAGAUCUUCAGUACUGAAGUUGUCCCUGAUUAUUUGGAUUGCUGAAAUAAAAAAACAAAUGAAGAUAGAUGUGUGCAAAGCAAACUCAAAGGGAAAACCCGCAAAGAAGAACGAAGACCAUGGAAAGAAUAGAGAGGAAGUAGCAAGGAACAAUACGAUCGCUAGAACUCACCGGCAAUGUUUAAGCCGGAGCAAAGCGAGAGAGAAAAGGCGAUGGAACCAAAGAAAAUAGAAAAGACAUAUCUUAACUGAUAAUCACAAACACAUGUUUCCUUAUAAAGUGAUUGAGU
rnacentral:lncRNA from 1 species